rnacentral:rRNA from 1 species
GAUGAACGCUAGCGGCAGGCUUAAUACAUGCAAGUCGAGGGGCAGCAAGGGUAGCAAUACCUGUUGGCGACCGGCAAACGGGUGCGGAACACGUACAGAACCUUCCUUUAAGCGGGGGAUAGCCCAUAGAAAUGUGGAUUAAUACCCCAUAGUAAUAUUGUCUGGCAUCAGAUGGUAUUUAAAGAUUUAUCACUUAAAGAUGGCUGUGCGGCUGAUUAGGUAGUUGGUUGGGGUAACGGCCCACCAAGCCAGCGAUCAGUAACUGGUGUGAGAGCACGACCAGUCACACGGGCACUGAGACACGGGCCCGACUCCUACGGGAGGCAGCAGUAAGGAAUAUUGGUCAAUGGACGCAAGUCUGAACCAGCCAUGCCGCGUGAAGGAUGAA